GUAGGUAUGAGUUUAUUUACAUGUUGGAGAAGAGAUAACUGUCUCCUUAAAUACAUAAAAGAAGAUGUAGUAUGAGUGCCAAUGAGACAACUCUCCAUCCAAGUCACAAUUUUUAAAGGUAAACCCUUAUAGGUUAAUACGUCUUUAACACAGAGCAUCGGCUCACACCGAACAGCAAGUUAUAGCAGGCCUUAAAAAAAUUUACAUGGAAAAACUAUUCAAAUGGGAAAGCCAACGGUCAUAUCUAUAUAAAAAAACAAGAAACACUUAUAAAACACAUCAACAAAC
rnacentral:lncRNA from 1 species